GGAUGUGGCUCAAGUGGUAGCGCGCUCGCCUGGUGUGCGUGAGGCACUGGGUUCAAUUCUCGGCACCA
rnacentral:tRNA from 1 species